CCUGAUUUAUUAUGCAGUAUUUUUCACAUGUUUCCUGAAGUCUACCGGCAGUUUUGUUGUGCUUCUCUGCAGAAAGCUUGAUUUUAUUAUGUAAUGUUAGAAAUUAAAAUUGAGCUAUUGAACAACUUAAUCUAUAAGGAUAUAAUUGGAUAACAUAAAUGAUUUCAUCUGCUUUUAUGAUUGGGCAGAUUGCAGGUUAAUUUAUCGGAUUGAUGUCAUUGUAAAAGUGAGUAAGUGGUGUCAUUGAUGUCUCCGAAGCCAGAGUGAUGAUAGGCAGAGCAGUGACAGUGAUAGAGAUUCCUCUGAAGGGUUGGCUGAUAGUGACGAUGACGAUGACAAGAACAUGUUGAAAGAAUCAAACAUGCCAACGUUUGAAGAAAUCAAGGAAAUCACCAUUAGGAGAUCGAGGCUUGUGAAGUGGUUGAAUGAACCAUUCUUUAAAGAGUUAAUUGUUGGGUGCUUUGUUAGAAUUGGGAUUGGAAAAUCAGAGAGUGGAGCUGUUUACAGACUCUGCAUGGUUCAGAGUAUUGAUGGUGCCGAUCCAAAUGGGCACUACAAGGUUGAGAACAGAAUCACUCACAAGUACCUGGUUUGUGUUUGGGGAAGUGAAAGCUCUGCCAAGAGGUUCCAAAUGGCUGUGGUUUCGGAUUCUUCGCCGUUGGAGAAAGAGUUCAGGCAAUGGGUUAAGGAAAUUGAGAGAAGUUGUAGCCAAAUGCCGAGUAAGGCGAGUGUUUUGGACAAGAGAGAGGCCAUUAGAAGAACGAUUAACUAUGUCUACUUUGCACCCACUGUGAAGCAGAUGCUAGAGGAGAAGAAAGCCGCGCCUACUCGGCCGCUUAAUGUCGCGGUUGAGAAGGACAAGCUGAAGAGGCUAAUGGAGGUAGCAAAGAGAAAGAACGAUGAGGCCGAGGUGGAGAGGAUCUGCGCCAAGCUCCUGGAAUUGGACACGGCACGCGAAGCCAGGGAUAAUGACAGUAGGGCUAAAAGAUUAGUUGAGAUGAACAGAAAGAACAAAUUUGAUAAUUUCAAGAACUUGUCUGAGCAUAGGAAUUUGCAGGUGAAUUUGAAAUUGGGUGAGGUAGGGUAUGAUCCAUUCUCUAGGAGGUGGACAAGGUCUAGGAAUUACUACAAUGCAGAAGGGAAAUAGAUUAAACAAGAAGAGAGUCAUCAAGUUAGUAAGAAGGAUUGAUGUCAUUGAUUGGAGCAAGAAGCGUUGAAAUUCUUCAAGAGAAAAAUUUAAAUUAAGAAUGAUGGAGAGCGAUGGCGACAAUGAUGCACCAUUAUUGGAUGAUAAAGCAAAGCAAAUGAUGGAAAUAUGGUUUUAUAUGCACCAUUAUGAUAACUUAUAUGAUCCUAUAGUGUUUUAUAUGCAUGCUUUAUUCGAGCAGGAUGAAAAGUAAUAUUUUGGAGAUGAAGGGGAAUAUGGACUACCUUCUUGAAAAAGGUUACAAGCAACAAAUUUGUUUCAGUACCUUGAUGAACGCGCGAGCAAAGCUGAAGCCGAAGUCCAGACCUUAAAGGAAGCCCUUGUUGUAUUGCAGGCUGAAAGAGAAGCUAAUAUGUUUUAGUACCAGCAGUGCUUAGAGAAAAUAUAUACUCUGGAGAUAAGCAUAUCUUCUGCUCAAGAUGAUGUAAGAGCACUUAAUGAUCGUGCUAUUAAAGCUGAAACUGAAACCGAUCCCUUAAGCAUGACCUUGCUAGAAUAGAAGCUGAACUUGAAACUGAACUUGAAGCUGUAGUUGUCCGAAAUAACCACUCCUUGGAUUCCUUGUCAAAAUUGAAGGAGAGAUUAGAAGAAGCUAAAGAGAAUGCAAGGAGCUUGAAUGAGGAAGCUAAUAUAGCCAGAAGUGAAAGAAAAGGUGUGUAGCUGUUGACGCUCUGCCUCUUGUUGCUCAGACACUGAAUAGAUUCAGAUCUCGUCUCUGAUCAAUGCUUUUGCAGAGUAAUACAACUGUACUUGAGGACUUCUAUGUGCAUCUGGUGGAUGCUGUUCUAGAUCUUAUAGAGCAUGUUCACAGGACAACAGCAAGACUCCUUCAUGUUAAUGGGUUCAGAAUUUAGCAAAUCAGAAGUACAUUAGUGGUCAGCAAAUUGAUGACAUUAUCAAAAUGCUACUACACCACUUCCAGAUUUUUAAGACAAGCAAAAAAGGAUCAAUGCAAUUGAAGAGGGGCUAUUAUUAUACUUAUUAUUUUUAUAGUUCAUAUUAUUAUUAUUGCCAUUGUGAUUAUUAUUAUUAUUAUUAUUAUUAUUAAAACCUAUACCCAUUGGUUUUUAGUACGGUGUUUUAUAUUGUCUCUAUUAUUAUUAUUACUAAAAUCAGCGAAUUUUAAAAGGAAAAUUUAAUAUUU